rnacentral:rRNA from 1 species
UACAGAGGUCCCAAGCGUUGUUCGGAUUCACUGGGCGUAAAGGGUGCGUAGGUGGCGGGGUAAGUCUGGUGUGAAAGCUCCGAGCUCAACUCGGAAAAGCAUUGGAAACUAUCCCGCUUGAGGGUCGGAGGGGAGACUGGAAUUCUCGGUGUAGCAGUGAAAUGCGUAGAUAUCGGAAGGAACAUCAGUGGCGAAAGCGGCUUCCUGGACCAGUACCGACGUUCAGGCACGAAAGCGUGGGGAGCAAACAGG